UCGCUAGUAAUCGCGGAUCAGCAUGCCGCGGUGAAUACGUUCCCGGGCCUUGUACACACCGCCCGUCACACCACGAGAGUUUGCAACACCCGAAGUCGGUGAGGUAACCUUUAUGGAGCCAGCCGCCGAAGGUGGGGCAGAUGAUUGGGGUGAAGUCGUAACAAGGUAGCCGUAUCGGAAGGUGCGGCUGGAUCACCUCCUUUCUAAGGAUAUAUGGAGCAGCGUGCGUUUUCGUCUUGUUUAGUUUUGAAGGAUCAUUCCUUCAAGACAUGUCUCUAGCGAGACAGGAUUGUUCUUUGAAAACUAGAUAACAAUAAGUAAUACAUUCACAUUGAAUGCAAUGCAAAGUUCAUCACACAUAGUGAUUCUUUCUAAAGUAAGAAAUGGUUAAGUUAGAAAGGGCGCACGGUGGAUGCCUUGGCACUAGGAGCCGAUGAAGGACGGGACUAACACCGAUAUGCA
rnacentral:misc_RNA from 1 species